rnacentral:lncRNA from 1 species
UUAGUUGCUCCCCUCUGGCAGCUCGGCGCAAGUCCAUUAACGGAUGACAGCUAUGAUCCUCUCGGUCUUGGGCCCCGUAUAGUUUGUAAUUUAACUAUGUCGUCCAUCAAGAAGAGAAGAUGAUAAUGGUAAUUGGAGUGUACGAAGGUCCGGGGGAUAUCUGGAUGGCCUCCUUUUUUCCGUGCAAGAGAUCGGAUUCCUAAGAAUCUAAUGGAACGAUUGAAACUUUGCUAUCGUGGGGAUGCUCUCAAUUAUUUAGUUGUAACAUGACUUUAUACCGAUACCACCGCCAGGAGGAAUUAUUUUGUCAUCCUUUAUUGCCCAAUUUGUACUGCACUCAAUUGUGAUCGAUCAUCUUUCAAUUGCCGAUGUGAUACUCUGAAAACUGCCAUUGCUGAAGGGCAUAUCCGGCAAAUUUGCAUUGAAGUGGGUUGAUGCCACGCAUGCUGCUGCACCUACGCUUGUUAUUUGCAGCAAUUCAUUUAAGCAGAUGCCUCGCUCUUUACAUUUGCAUUAACUCAGUUAGGCGGAUGCCUUACUUUUUACUUUUGCAGAAACACCACUAAGCAGAUACUUUACUUUUUACUUUUGCAUUAAUUAAGCAGAUGACUUACUUUCAC